GCAGAGCAGUGGGGAAAGGCUGCUGCUCUCCCAGUGCUGGCCAACACCUCCUCCACACAGACUGAGCUGCUGAAGGCAGAGGUUGGGUCUGGGGAUGUCACACCAGUGCCCUGACAAAAGGACAGCCCUGUCCUGGGGCACAGCCAGCCCAGCAAGGGAGGGGAUUGCCCACUUCACCUGGAGCUCUGGGGGCAGUUUUGGAGGAUUUAAUAAGGAGGAUUUAAAGAACUCCAAAGAGAUGAGAAGAUUGCUAUGUGAGGUGCUGUUUAUUCCCAGUGAAAGAUAUGGUUUCUGGACAAGGAAAGAGCAAUUUGAUAGAUAUCUAGAGAAGAAAAUCCAGCUUUAUGUUGAUAGUCAUGGUCUUCAGCCUGAGGAAAGCCCAGUCCCUAUGAAAUAAAAACAGACAAACAAAAAAUUGUUAAUUCCAUGCUGUAAGGCAAUUCUGCCCAUCCACAGAAAACAGCAGAUCAACCCCAGAUUUCAAGACUGAAAAUUAUCUUUAUUUCAAACCACUGCAACAAAUAGCUAAGUAGUGAACCAACCAGUGAGGAGAAAUAAAAGAAGAGCCUUACAACAUAUCCAAAAUAUAUGGCUUGAGUUUGACUUUCCUGUAAUGCAAGUGAAAAAUCUGAAUUAGUCAUUUUGAAAUGAAGCAAUAAACAUUUUGUCACUCCAAAAAUGCCAGCCUAAGGCAUGAUGAUUUGAUGUUGCUAUGCCUAUUUUACUAAGUGAAAUCCAAUGGAAAGCAGAUUUGUUUAAUGACUUUUAUUUUCUUAAUGUCAUUUAGUUCCCCUGAGGUUUCUGUAAAUUCUUCUGUACUGCAAACUCUCUUCAAAGCAGAAGAAAUUCUGGAUUGAAGAUCUUCUGGAAAAUUAUUUUAUCAACUGACCCACAUCACUGUCAGAAUGAUUUUAUUCAAGAGA